ACCCUUGACCACGGUAUAGUCAGCGACUGGGGUGAAGUCGUAACAAGGUAGCCGUAGGGGAACCUGCGGCUGGAUUACCUCCUUUCUAAGGAUGAAUGAAAGUAAAAUUUCAUUCUAAAUAAUAUACAUCGGUAAUGUUGACCGUCCUCAUUUCUCUUCUUAAAGUAAUGUUUCCUUCUUGUAGGGCCGGUAGCUCAGUUGGUUAGAGCACACCCUUGAUAAGGGUGGGGUCGAAAGUUCGAGUCUUUCUCGGCCCACCAUACUUAACUGGGGGAUUAGCUCAGCUGGGAGAGCGCCUGAUUUGCAUUCAGGAGGUCAGCGGUUCGAUCCCGCUAUCCUCCACCAGGAAACAUUUAGUUAUAAAAACUGUGAAUAAAUUUAAUAAUUAAUAUCAAUAUCUAUAUCCGAACAUUAGUAAUGUUAUUAGCUAAUGUUCAAAAUAAAAAUUUGAUUCAACACAGAAUUUUUUUCUGUGCAUAAAUCAAGCGUUUAAGGGCGUGUAGUGGAUGCCUUGGCACUGAAAGCCGAUGAAGGACGUGAUAUACUGCGAUAAGUUUCGGGGAGCUGUAUGUAAGUUUUGAUCCGAAAAUUU
rnacentral:misc_RNA from 1 species